GCCGAUUUGGUCCUAGUCCCAACAUUAACUAUUCUAAAGUUGCCACAUGCAAGUCAACAGACGCACCAGUGAAGUGCAACCCCUCCAUUUAAACCUUUAAGAGAUAAAAGUAGGGUUACUUAGCAUCAGGCCCGCGAAAGUUGCCAACAACGCUAAGCAAAACGCCACAACUGCAGUGCUAAACAUUAGACAAUCGGAACACCCCGGAUCUAGUUAAAGAACAAAAAGGAGGUAAAAUACGUGCCAGCCAGCGCGGUUACACGUAAAUCCUAAAGUUAUCCUAAAACGGUUCAAAGGGUGGUUAAAAUUUAAUCCCUCAGCCAAAGCUCCAAGACAGUGGUAGAAAACUUACCUUGCAUGAACAAGCCUAGCUGACCUAAAAAUUUGACUCCAUGAAAACUAAGGCCUAAACCAGGAUUAGAUACCCUGCUAUACUUAGAAGUAAACAACCUAUAACACCAGAGAACUACGAACCAAAAAUUUAAAACUCAAAGGACUUGGCGGUUUUCCAAACCUCCCUGGAGGAGCUUGCCAUCGAAUCGAUAACCCACGAAACACCUCACCAACCCUAGUAAAAUCAGCCUGUAUACCAUCGUCGCAAGUCUACCUCCCAAGAAAGUUGACAAAAAGGAACCCCCAAGACGUCAGAUCAAGGUGCAGCUCACGGGUUGGGGAUCGGUGAGCUACAAUGUCUUUCAAAGCCAGUGGACAUCGAAGUGAAACCCUCGAUCAAAACCGGAUUCAGCAGUAAGUCUCAAUAGAGAGUGUGACUGAAGGAAGCUCUGGAAUGCGUACACAUCGCCCGUCACUCUCACCUAGCUAAGCAGCGAGAUGAGAAAAGUCGUAACAUAGUAGGCGUAUCGGAAGAUGCGCCUGGAAAAUAAAA
rnacentral:ncRNA from 1 species